UUUUCCAUAUAGAUAAGGAUAUUUUUCUUUUCUUUUCUUUUCUUUUCUUUUUCAGAGAGAGGGAGGGAGAAGGAGAAUCAUGUUCUUCUUCUUUUUUUGAUUUCUUUGAACACUUGAUGUUUUUAAUUAAUUGGAAAUCUCAGGAGAUAAGCAAACAAGCCAUGGAUUGAUAAAAGCACUGUGUCGCUAUCUGAUUCUUUUAAUUUCUUCUUGCAUUCGGUUGGUGGAUGGAUUUUGUCUUUUUUGGUAAAAGUUGGUGGAUGGAAUUAAUUAGGAUCACCUCAUGAGGCUCCCAUGGCUUACGCUCAUGUGAACGGCUUAACACACGAGGGUGGAGUAAAGUGCAAGGAUCUUGCAUGAACUUUGCUUUGACUUACUUUUUAACGCAAGGACUCGAUGUCGAUUAAAAUAUUUUAAUACAAAACAUUCCGUGUGUAAAGACAUAGUUAAGCAAAGCUAUAUGGCCUGUGAGUAGAAGGAUCGCAGGUUUUGGCCAACAGAAUUUUUCAUCUAACAUUUCAAGAUUCAACUAUCAAAAAAAAAAAAAGAAAAGAAAGAAACGCCAGAAUCACAACAGCAGAAAAAAUGGUUGAAAUAUUCCCAUCAUAAUAAAUAAAUCAGCUGUCAAUAUGAACGAGCCAACCGGUACAGAAAACUAAUGUGAAAACGAGUAUUUGACUACACCUGUGAUCCAGUUGAUUGAGAAUAUUAAUGGCCAGAAAAUCCACCAAGGGCCGGCGGACUCCAGAUUUUGCUGUUUAGUGCGGGGCC
rnacentral:lncRNA from 1 species